GGUCAUGAUCUGACCUGAAGGCAGAUGCUUAACUGACUGAGCCACCCAAGCACUCUGAUUUUUAAAAUACAUUUUUGGACAGCCAUCUUGCUCUUGCCGCGUGCUGUUGUUGGAGGACCCUCCCUGCUUCAGAUUUACCAACAGCAUGAAUCAAGAAAAGUUAGCCAAACUUCAGGCUCAGGUCCAGAUAGAGGGCAAGGGUACAGCUCGCAGAAAGAAGAAGGUGGUACAUAGAACAGCUACGGCUGAUGACAAAAAACUUCAGAGUUCUCUAAAAAAACUGGCUGUGAAUAAUAUAGCUGGGUGAUUAUAUUGAAGAGGUGAACAUGAUUAAAGAUGAUGGGACAGUUAUUCAUUUCAACAAUCCCAAAGUCCAAGCUUCCCUUUCUGCUAACACCUUUGCAAUUACUGGUCAUGCAGAAGCCAAACCAAUCACAGAAUUGCUUCCUGGAAUAUUAAGUCAGCUUGGUGCUGACAGUUUAACAAGUCUUAGGAAGUUAGCUGAACAGUUCCCUCGGCAAGUGUUGGAUAGCAAAGCACCAAAACCAGAAGACAUUGAUGAAGAGGAUGAUGAUGUUCCAGAUCUUGUAGAAAAUUUUGAUGAGGCAUCAAAGAAUGAAGCUAACUAAAAAUUUUUCUGGAGUUUGGAAGCUGGCAUGGACUAGAUUUAACAAAUCAGCUAUGUGGUUCCAAAGUUUUACAGACAUGGAGAACAUCAACUGUUACUAGUAGUUCAGUAAUAUAAAUAUUUUGUAUAUUAAUAAUGCUGUUUGUUCAGCAUUUUUCGGUCAUUUGAUUUUGCAUUUUGCACUUCCUCCCAGGAUCUAUUCUUUCAGUCAAAAUACGAAGUAUUGGUGCAGUUUGAGGGUGUUUUGGUGUUUGAUUCUCAGUUUUCUGUUUUUUCGUUGGGGUAUUUUUGGUGUGUGUAUGUGUAUGUAUGUGUGUGCGUAUGUGUGUAUACAGUGGAGAGCAAAUUGGAAAACAGUUCUAUUUAUCCUCCUUCUUCCCCCAGUAGAAAAUAAAACAAAUCUUUACAUUUAAAAAACAAAACAUUUUUAUUACUAAUGUGUUAAAUGUGUUGCUAAAUGUCUUCUGGUUUGUAGCUUUUCACUUUCUUAAGAAGUCUUCUGAUGAACACCAGUUUUUAGUUUUAAUAAAGUCAAAUUUACUGAUCUUUUAUGAUUUAUAAUUCUAUUUCCAUUCUCUGGGUAAUUUUGUAUAAGACUGUAAUAAUUGGUUUGGUUUGGUUAAAGUUUGGUUUCAGACUCACUUAUAAAACUAUCUGGGCUCGGUGAGUUUUUUGGGUUUUUUCUGUUGUUGUUAGAGUAGUUUAAAAUUUAGAGACUCAUUCUAAGUUCUAUGAUUCUGGAUCUAAGUUUUCUUAUCUUUGUAACAGUUAAAUUACUGGAGAAUACUAAAUAAUAACCUAUAAAGAAUUAAUACUGUCCCUUUUAUAUGGCAGAUUUGUAAAUACAU